AGCAGGGGCUUCCUGCAAAGAAAGGGGAGCUCACAGUGUUUUCCUUAUAUGACCAGGUCCCAUUGCAGCUGGCACUGCUUGCCCAGAGCCUGAGGGAAUUAUAAAAACAUGGCAACUGAGGUGGGGCCAGGGGACCCAGCA
rnacentral:snoRNA from 1 species